rnacentral:rRNA from 1 species
GCAGGCUGAAAUUACGCCUGCAUGAAGCCGGAAUUGCUUGUAAUGGCAGGUCAGCAUACUGCCGUGAAUACGUUCCCGGGCCUUGUACACACCGCCCGUCACACCAUGAGAGUUGGGGAUACCCAAAGCCCGUGAGCCAACUUUAAAAGAGGCAGCGGUCUAAGGUAGAAUCAAUGAUUGGGGUGAAGUCGUAACAAGGUACC